GCCGCGUGCAGGAUGACGGCCCUAUGGGUUGUAAACUGCUUUUAUACAGGAAGAAACACCCCGACGUGUCGGGACUUGACGGUACUGUAAGAAUAAGGAUCGGCUAACUCCGUGCCAGCAGCCGCGGUAAUACGGAGGAUCCAAGCGUUAUCCGGAAUCAUUGGGUUUAAAGGGUCCGUAGGUGGACAAUUAAGUCAGAGGUGAAAUCCUGCAGCUCAACUGUAGAAUUGCCUUUGAUACUGGUUGUCUUGAGUUAUUAUGAAGUAGUUAGAAUAUGUAGUGUAGCGGUGAAAUGCAUAGAUAUUACAUAGAAUACCAAUUGCGAAGGCAGAUUACUAAUAAUCAACUGACACUGAUGGACGAAAGCGUGGGGAGCGAACAGGAUUAGAUACCCUGGUAGUCCACGCCGUAAACGAUGGUUACUAGUUGUUCGGAUUUCGGUCUGAGUGACUAAGCGAAAGUGAUAAGUAACCCACCUGGGGAGUACGUUCGCAAGAAUGAAACUCAAAGGAAUUGACGGGGGCCCGCACAAGCGGUGGAGCAUGUGGUUUAAUUCGAUGAUACGCGAGGAACCUUACCAGGGCUUAAAUGUAGAUUGACAGGUUUAGAGAUAGACUUUUCUUCGGACAAUUUACAAGGUGCUGCAUGGUUGUCGUCAGCUCGUGCCGUGAGGUGUCAGGUUAAGUCCUAUAACGAGCGCAACCC
rnacentral:rRNA from 1 species